CCUACGGGUGGCAGCAGUGGGGAAUAUUGCGCAAUGGGCGAAAGCCUGACGCAGCGACGCCGCGUGAGGGAUGAAGGUCUUCGGAUCGUAAACCUCUGUCAGCAGGGAGGAACGGUCACUGUGCUAAUCAGCAGUGAAUUGACGGUACCUGCAAAGGAAGCACCGGCUAACUCCGUGCCAGCAGCCGCGGUAAUACGGAGGGUGCGAGCGUUAAUCGGAAUUACUGGGCGUAAAGGGCGCGUAGGCGGUAUGUCAAGUCAAGGGUGAAAUCCCCGGGCUCAACGUGGGAACUGCCUUUGAAACUGGCAAACUGGAGUGUGUGAGAGGAUAGUGGAAUUCCAGGUGUAGGAGUGAAAUCCGUAGAUAUCUGGAGGAACAUCAGUGGCGAAGGCGACUAUCUGGAACAUAACUGACGCUGAGGAGCGAAAGCGUGGGUAGCAAACAGGAUUAGAUACCCCAGUAGUC
rnacentral:rRNA from 1 species